UUUCUUGCAUUUGAUUUUAUAUUUCCCUGAGCUUUUCUCUAAUUCUUUCCCCUUCAUUUCAUCUAUUAUGUCAGUUUGUCUCAACUCCUAAACACCGAUCUUCACUUGACUCUCUCUAUUUGUCCAUAAAAUAGUUAUCUGUUCAUCUCUAUGUAAUCCCAGUAACUCUUUGUGCUGUAUUUGCUCUGUCUUCUGUGUCUUUUUGGAGUAGAUUAAAAAUAUC
rnacentral:misc_RNA from 1 species